UGGGUAGGGGAGCGUUCUGUAAGCCUGUGAAGGUGGCCUGUGAGGGUUGCUGGAGGUAUCAGAAGUGCGAAUGCUGACAUAAGUAACGAUAAAGCGGGUGAAAAGCCCGCUCGCCGGAAGACCAAGGGUUCCUGUCCAACGUUAAUCGGGGCAGGGUGAGUCGACCCCUAAGGCGAGGCCGAAAGGCGUAGUCGAUGGGAAACGGGUUAAUAUUCCCGUACUUGGUGUUACUGCGAAGGGGGGACGGAGAAGGCUAUGUUGGCCGGGCGACGGUUGUCCCGGUUUAAGCGUGUAGGUGUGUGUUCCAGGUAAAUCCGGUUCACUUUAACACUGAGGCGUGACGACGAGGCACUACGGUGCUGAAGCAACAAAUGCCCUGCUUCCAGGAAAAGCCUCUAAGCAUCAGGUAACAUCAAAUCGUACCCCAAACCGACACAGGUGGUCAGGUAGAGAAUACCAAGGCGCUUGAGAGAACUCGGGUGAAGGAACUAGGCAAAAUGGUGCCGUAACUUCGGGAGAAGGCACGCUGACACGUAGGUGAAGUGAUUUACUCAUGGAGCUGAAGUCAGUCGAAGAUACCAGCUGGCUGCAACUGUUUAUUAAAAACACAGCACUGUGCAAACACGAAAGUGGACGUAUACGGUGUGACGCCUGCCCGGUGCCGGAAGGUUAAUUGAUGGGGUCAGCGCAAGCGAAGCUCCUGAUCGAAGCCCCGGUAAACGGCGGCCGUAACUAUAACGGUCCUAAGGUAGCGAAAUUCCUUGUCGGGUAAGUUCCGACCUGCACGAAUGGCGUAAUGAUGGCCAGGCUGUCUCCACCCGAGACUCAGUGAAAUUGAACUCGCUGUGAAGAUGCAGUGUACCCGCGGCAAGACGGAAAGACCCCGUGAACCUUUACUAUAGCUUGACACUGAACAUUGAGCCUUGAUGUGUAGGAUAGGUGGGAGGCUUUGAAGCGUGGACGCCAGUCUGCGUGGAGCCAACCUUGAAAUACCACCCUUUAAUGUUUGAUGUUCUAACGUGGACCCGUUACCCGGGUUGCGGACAGUGUCUGGUGGGUAGUUUGACUGGGGCGGUCUCCUCCUAAAGAGUAACGGAGGAGCACGAAGGUUGGCUAAUCCUGGUCGGACAUCAGGAGGUUAGUGCAAUGGCAUAAGCCAGCUUGACUGCGAGCGUGACGGCGCGAGCAGGUGCGAAAGCAGGUCAUAGUGAUCCGGUGGUUCUGAAUGGAAGGGCCAUCGCUCAACGGAUAAAAGGUACUCCGGGGAUAACAGGCUGAUACCGCCCAAGAGUUCAUAUCGACGGCGGUGUUUGGCACCUCGAUGUCGGCUCAUCACAUCCUGGGGCUGAAGUAGGUCCCAAGGGUAUGGCUGUUCGCCAUUUAAAGUGGUACGCGAGCUGGGUUUAGAACGUCGUGAGACAGUUCGGUCCCUAUCUGCCGUGGGCGCUGGAGAACUGAGGGGGGCUGCUCCUAGUACGAGAGGACCGGAGUGGACGCAUCACUGGUGUUCGGGUUGUCAUGCCAAUGGCACUGCCCGGUAGCUAAAUGCGGAAGAGAUAAGUGCUGAAAGCAUCUAAGCACGAAACUUGCCCCGAGAUGAGUUCU
rnacentral:rRNA from 1 species